rnacentral:rRNA from 1 species
GUUGAACGCUGGCGGCGUGCCUAAUACAUGCAAGUCGAGCGAACAGACGAGGAUCUUUCUCCUCUUACGUUAGCGGCGGACGGGUGAUUAACACGUGGCUAACCUACCUUUAGGACUGGGAUAACUUCGGGAACCCUGAUCUAAUAUCGGUUAAUAUAUUGAACCGCAUGGUUCAAUAGUGCAAGCCGUUUUUGCUGUCACUUAUAGAUGUAUCCUCGCCGCAUUAGCUAGUUGGUAAGGUAACGGCUUACCAAGGCAACGAUGCGUAGCCGACCUGAGAGGGUGAUCAGCCACACUGGAACUGAGACACGGUCCAGACUCCUACGGGAGGCAGCAGUAGGGAAUCUUCCGCAAUGGGCGAAAGCUUGACGGAGCAACGCCGCGUGAGUGAUGAAGGUCUUCGGAUCGUAAAACACUGUUAUUAGGGAAGAACAAAAGUGUAAGUAACUAUGCACGUCUUGACGGUACCUAAUCAGAAAGCCACGGCUAACUACGUG